GACGAACGCUGGCGGCGUGCUUAACACAUGCAAGUCGAACGGUAAGGCCUUCGGGUACACGAGUGGCGAACGGGUGAGUAACACGUGGGUGAUCUGCCCCCUACUCUGGGAUAAGCCUGGGAAACUGGGUCUAAUACCGGAUAUGACCAACUUCUGCAUGGUUGUUGGUGGAAAGUUUUUCGGUAGGGGAUGAGCCCGCGGCCUAUCAGCUUGUUGGUGGGGUAAUGGCCUACCAAGGCGACGACGGGUAGCCGGCCUGAGAGGGCGACCGGCCACACUGGGACUGAGACACGGCCCAGACUCCUACGGGAGGCAGCAGUGGGGAAUAUUGCACAAUGGGCGAAAGCCUGAUGCAGCGACGCCGCGUGGGGGAUGACGGCCUUCGGGUUGUAAACCCCUUUCAGUCGGGACGAAGCGAGAGUGACGGUACCGAUGGAAGAAGCACCGGCCAACUACGUGCCAGCCGCCGCUGUAACAC
rnacentral:rRNA from 1 species